GGGCGUGUGGCUCAGUUGGUAGAGCGUUCGCUUAGCAUACCUUCCCCCAUACCCACCCCCAUUACGGGGCGUCGUUAAGGGGUGCAGUUGUAUGCGAAAGGUCCUGGGUUCGAUUCCCAGCUCGUCCA